UCCAACCCAUACCAAUACCAUUCAACUCUCAAAUCACCCGUUUCUUCUCAUUCCGCCCCGCCAUUCGACUUCCGGGACAGCUGCUCAAUCUCUGCUGUUUUGCUCCGGUAUUCGACCUCUCAAUCUCUCAAGAACUCUCACCACCCGACGCCGUCUUCCCCCAAUCUUGGAAUCUCUUGCGAUUCUUUUUAUUUUCAAGCCCUAAAUGGUAGUCGGCAAACACCUUCAAUUCCACUGGCGACUCCAUAGACGGCAACAUAGCAGAAGAAGAAGGGCAAAUUGGAUGUGCUCUUGCUCUUAUGAUUGCUAGGGAUGUGAUGUAGGGCACUGACCAAUCCGUCAUCCUUCACAUACUAGAUGUUCCUCCUGCUGCUGAGGCACUUAAUGGAGUGAGAUGAGAUUGGUCAAUGCUGCACUCUCUCUUCUCAAAGAUAUUGGAUGGUCUCUUUAAGCUGCCUGAGAAUAGGGAAUGUGCAGAUUGCCGGAGCAAGUAUGUUUGUGACACCUACCUUGCACAUUGUGGUCAAAUGUCCACAACCAGCCUGGAUUUUACUCUCUCUCUCUAUUCAUGAGGCAAAUGCUAAUCUUCUUUAACCAAGAAAAAUUUAAAGUUCUUGAAUUCAUUCACACAAUUUUCGCUCUUUUCAAGGAGUGAAUCUGUGGUUUGAAAGUUGGUCAUAUCGAACUAAAAGUGAAUCCUAAUUUGUGCACUGAAAGUUGAUGCCAUACUAUUCAUCUUAAUGAUUUGAGUUGGAGUAUAUUGCUAAGCUAUUUACAACUGUAGGAAAAACUAUUUCUAUCACAAUAAUUAAUCAGGUCUCCAUCUUUAUAUUUUUCACCACACACUUUUGUGCCUUGUGAAGAUUACAGAAGUGUGAUAAUCCAGGCUGGUUAUGGCGUUUAGCUAAAACUCAAUUUUAUUACGCAUACAUAUACUUUAUAGCCAGAUGGGAAGAGAGUGAUGUACAUAUUUGCCAUCUAAUGACUUUGAAGGUCAGUAUUUCUAUUCUUUUUUCUUCGUAGUGUUAAUUGCUGCCUUCUACAUAGGUGAGGUCUACGACUCUAGAUACAUGGCUACUAGAGCAGGUUGCUUUCAUGCAAUGAAAGUCUCUCUUUAGAGAGAGAAAAAAAAAUU